UAUCAUCGAUCAAUCAUUCAAUUUUUUUUUGGAAUCACAGCAUCAAUAAUAAUCAAUAUUGAUUUGAUUUUAUUUCCGAUUUCCGAGCAACAAGUACAGCAAGAAGAAGCGAAAGAAAAGAAAAAUAUUUUUCCAUUGAAAUGAUAUAAUCUCUAUAUUUUUCUGUAUAAUCAAAUCUAAAAGUUUGAAAAAAGUAAAGAAGCGAAAAUCAAAAAAUUAUAUUUCGAUCCAUAAUUUGAAAUUCAACUCGGUUUCUUAUAUUCAUCAGAGAAAUAAGAAUUUUUUUCCCGGUAUUUCGAACGAAAUAAAAACCUGGUGUGAACAAUAAAUACCCGAAUUGCGGAUAACAAAAAAAUAACAAAAACCGAUAAACAACCAUCAACAAAACAAAAACAGCAACGAAGACGAGGAAAAAUAAAAAGUCCGUAUCAAUGAAUCUCGUUCGGUGGCACAUGACACAUGUUAAUUAACAGAAUCAUAAUCUUCGCGGCAAUCUUUUUUGUCAUUCAUUGCCCUUCCAGUGUUUAUACCAAUAACAUCAUCACCAUUGAACAAAC